rnacentral:rRNA from 1 species
AAUAGAUACCCAGGUAGUCCACGCCGUAAACGUUGGGCGCUAGAUGUGGGGGCCAUUCCACGGUUUCCGCGUCGUAGCUAACGCAUUAAGCGCCCCGCCUGGGGAGUACGGCCGCAAGGCUAAAACUCAAAGGAAUUGACGGGGGCCCGGCACAAGCGGCGGAGCAUGCGGAUUAAUUCGAUGCAACGCGAAGAACCUUACCAAGGCUUGACAGUAUACGAGAACACUGCAGAAAUGUAGGACUCUUUGGACACUCGUAUACAGGUGGUGCAUGGUUGUCGUCAGCUCGUGUCGUGAGAUGUUGGGUUAAGUCCCGCAACGAGCGCAACCCUCGUCGCAUGUUGCCAGCACGUAAAGGUGGGAACUCAUGUGAGACUGCCGGGGUCAACUCGGAGGAAGGUGGGGAUGACGUCAAAUCAUCAUGCCCCUUAUGUCUUGGGCUUCACGCAUGCUACAAUGGCCGGUACAAAGGGCUGCAAUACCGUAAGGUGAGCGAAUCCCAAAAAGCCGGUCUCAGUUCGGA